GUCCACGGCCAUAGGACUUUGAAAGCACCGCAUUCCCGUCCGAUCUGCGCAGUUAACCAAAGUGCCGCCUAAGUUAGUA
rnacentral:rRNA from 1 species